AAGACAUGGUGGGGGCACUGAGACUGAUAACUUUUAAAGCGCUCCCAUGCUUCACAGAGUGUUUCACCAUUCUUCUGAGUAAACCCAGAGAUCUUGUUGCACAGACGU
rfam:Capsella rubella cultivar Monte Gargano unplaced genomic scaffold scaffold_6, whole genome shotgun sequence.